AGUCGAGCGGUAACAGAGAGUAGCUUGCUACUUUGCUGACGAGCGGCGGACGGGUGAGUAAUGCUUGGGAACAUGCCUUGAGGUGGGGGACAACAGUUGGAAACGACUGCUAAUACCGCAUAAUGUCUACGGACCAAAGGGGGCUUCGGCUCUCGCCUUUAGAUUGGCCCAAGUGGGAUUAGCUAGUUGGUGAGGUAAUGGCUCACCAAGGCGACGAUCCCUAGCUGGUUUGAGAGGAUGAUCAGCCACACUGGGACUGAGACACGGCCCAGACUCCUACGGGAGGCAGCAGUGGGGAAUAUUGCACAAUGGGCGCAAGCCUGAUGCAGCCAUGCCGCGUGUGUGAAGAAGGCCUUCGGGUUGUAAAGCACUUUCAGUCAGGAGGAAAGGUUAGUAGUUAAUACCUGCUAGCUGUGACGUUACUGACAGAAGAAGCACCGGCUAACUCCGUGCCAGCAGCCGCGGUAAUACGGAGGGUGCGAGCGUUAAUCGGAAUUACUGGGCGUAAAGC
rnacentral:rRNA from 1 species